CAAAGUUGGUAUUGCAUUGUCACAGUCCAGACCAUCAUGCCGAGUCCACUGAAGACUUGUAAGCAAACAGACCAACAAAAUGACCAAGGACAGUUUAUGUCGGUGAAAGAAGGCAGGCUACUCACCAGGGGGAGAAGAGCCCAAACAUGCCGGCUGCACAGCUGCAGAGCUCUGGGCACGGUCCUCCUUCAGUUGCGCAGGGACUCAGAGACAACCUUUACUCUGCCAUCAAUGAUAUAAAGUCUCUCAAAGAUGAAAAUAUAAUGCUGAGGAUGCAGAUUAGCCAGCUGAAACACAGCCAACUGAAGGUGUUCCAGCUUCAGGAGGAGUUGAAAGAAGAAGAAGAUGUUCUCCAAAUGGGCCUGUGUGGUCAAAGCAGUGGAGGAGCAGAUGUAAUGCACUGGACCAACCAGCCAGCUUCAGGUACGCUGCCUGAGAUCAUCACUUUACAUCACAGUAGUGAGCUGUUGGAUUCCAAAAGCUUGUGUUGGACUGGGAGAAUCAGCGUUUUCAUAUAAAGAAAGUAAGUUUAAAAAAACAACAACAAAAAAAAAACAAAAAAAAUGCAGGAGGUGACAAACAGGCAGGCUGAGGUAAGCCAGCUUCAAGAGAAGCUGGAACCCUAGGAUGAGCUCCCAUCAGGACAAGGCGGCCCAUAACUAGAUCCCAUGUGAACACCCUUUUCAGACAGAAAAAAAAAAAUCAUGUAUAGGCACAUGAACUUUAAGUUGAUAGGGUAAGCCUUACCCUAAUCAGGUCUUGAAUAUGGAUUUCAUACCAUAUUCAGAACUAAUUGACUUUUUAGUAACAUGGACAGUAACUACAGUAAGAGCUGAAUAUUUACAACAUUUACUUUGGAUAUUAGCCCAUGGUAGCCACCUGGCUUUACACAUGGUAAUGCUGAUCUAUCAGUCGGUCUGCCACUGUUCUGAAAUAUCUCUACAUAUUUUGGAUGGAGAGAAGGUUGAUGCAGACACUCGCAGUCCUCCCAGGCAUUCCCAUUAACCGCACCUCAUGUUCUGUGCUUAUUAGGAAAUGCUAACAUGAUCACAGGCUAAACUGAGAUGGUAAACAUGGUCAACAUUACCCUUAAAAGGUCCUACAUUUACAGCAUUUAUUGAUUUCUUUAUUUAUGUAAAUUGUUUCCUGAUUAAUUUAAAUGUUUUUGGCCAUGUAUGAUUCCAUACUAUAGGUGCAAUAUGUAAGAAUUGGCAACCUCAUAUUUAAAUACAUACUCCUAACAAAUGUGGGGUGAUGCUUCACCAGAGUAACCGCUAACUGCUGCUAGCGGUUUAAACUAGGUGCUUCGGGAGGGACUGUUUAUACCGCUAGCACAGGUAUUUUGGAAAAAAUGUAGUGGUGAGGAAGUGUUAAGAAGAGGUUAAUGGAAAUACUUAUAAUAAAGUUCCUCAAAAUUG